CUUGAGCAACUAGUGCUUUUCCAAUGAGUCAAUAAUAAGUACAAACAAGGCUCCCAGAAACAUAGCCAUUCAGCUGUGGCUUUGUGCAAUCUAUGGACCCUUGGAAGGUGUUUGCGAUUUUUGUAAUUAAGGUGGAAGCUGCUGACAUAGUUGUGUGAGAUAUUGAAACAACUACUUAACCUGACAAUGCACAACACCAAACCUAAUGCACUGUGUUGAAAUGGCUUGGGUGAAGCCAGGGUUCUUUAUUUGUUCGGAAGGCUGGACUGGAUCAAACUGUCAGAUCUAUUACUUAAUGGCAAGG